UAAUGUGAAAAAUGGACAAGUGAUCAAACAACAAUGGGAAAAGGCCAGUCGAAAGAAAAGGAGGAAAUAAUAAUCGGACAGUCAGAAAAUGGUGGAGGUACAACGGCUAAUGGAAGUACAAGUACUGGGCUUUCCUUAAUUGAAGUUGUGGAAGUUGUGGCGGUAGCAGCAUUAGUAUUAGCCAUUGGCUGGUACUGUCUUAGAAGGUCAAGAAGAGCACUAAAAAGUCAAAUAGCAAGAGAGAUUGCAAGAAGCCAGCAGAUCGCGUAAGAAGGUAAAACUGGUUGUUCCACACUGGAGCCAGCACCAAGGGAAUGUUCCUAGCAGUUGCGCAAUGCGGCUAGGGCGCAACGAGGGAUACCAACCUGUCAAUAUUAACAACCCCCAUGGGAUAAGUUGGAACUUCAAGAGCAGGAAGAUGAACAGCAUAAAACAUUUAGAUACUGGACUGCUUCAAAUUAAAGCAAAAUACCAAUAACAGAGGUACAACAAGAAGACUGUCACCAAAUCUAUUUUACGAAUUUAAUUAUUUGUGUUUUGUGGAAAAAUAGUGAAUAAAAGAAAUAUAUAUUAAAUUUAAAAGC